rnacentral:rRNA from 1 species
UACGUAGGUGGCAAGCGUCGUCCGGAUUUACUGGGCGUAAAGAGCGCGCAGGCGGUCGUUCAAGUCGCGUGUGAAAGCCCCCGGCUCAACUGGGGAGGGUCACGCGAUACUGAUCGACUCGAAGGCAGGAGAGGGAAGUGGAAUUCCCGGUGUAGUGGUGAAAUGCGUAGAUAUCGGGAGGAACACCAGUGGCGAAGGCGACUUCCUGGCCUGUUCUUGACGCUGAGGUGCGAGAGCGUGGGGAGCGAACCGG